rnacentral:rRNA from 1 species
UCCCGGUUGAUCCUGCCAGGGGUUACUGCUAUCGAGAUUCGACUAAGCCAUGCAAGUCGAAUGUUCUUCGUGAACAUGGCGGACUGCUCAGUAACACGUGGACAACCUACCCUUGGGUCUGGCAUAAUCCUGGGAACUGGGUAUAAUUCCAGAUAGGUCACAGAUGCUGGAAUGCACUGUGGCCGAAAGCUCCGGCGCCCAAGGAUGGGUCUGCGGCCUAUCAGGGUUGUAGUGGGUGUAACGGACCUACUAGCCUACGACGGGUACGGGUUGUGAGAGCAAGAGCCCGGAGAUGGAUUCUGAGACACGAAUCCAGGCCCUACGGGGUGCAGCAGGCGCGAAAACUUUACAAUGCGGGAAACCGUGAUAAGGGGAAUCUCGAGUGCCAGCAUAUAAUGUUGGCUGUCCAGAUGCCUAAAAGCAUCUGUUAGCAAGGGCCGGGCAAGAC